rnacentral:lncRNA from 1 species
GGGAGGUGUGAGGCUGCAGCCAGAGGGAGGAAACUCAGGGUUGGGCUCACAGGAGAGACAGUGAGGACUGAGGCUGGAGGAGCAGAGGAGAGCACCCAAGGAGACAAAGAGAGGAGAAGAGGGUUUCAGGGCAGGACGUGAACAUGCCAGAGAAGCGUUUCCCAGCCUCCAGCCAGAAGCUAAGGACUUUGAGGAAGGAAAGAAGGUCGUGGGGCAUAUUGGUGUUUAGAGAGGCUGAGGGAGCGGGGGAAAGACUCGGCGAUUCGAGACUCCUGUGCUCCCGCCUUCCCUCCCCAGGACAAAGGCGCGGAAACAGACCCAGAGAGAUGAAGGGACUCGCCUAAGGUCACACAGCAAGAGCGAAAACUCAGGAUUUCCCCAAAUUCCUCCCGCUUCUAGUAUUCAAAUACUUACUAACUUCUAGCUGAGCUGUCCCUCUAGUGUUUUUUUAUGACUUUGUGUUCAUCGUUCACUUACUUGGC